rnacentral:tRNA from 1 species
GCCUGGGUGGCUCAGUCAGUUAAGCGUCUGACUUUGGCUCAGAUCAUGAUCUCACAGUUCCUGGGUUCAAAUCCCACAUCGGGCU